GAUGAACGCUGGCGGCGUGCCUAAUACAUGCAAGUCGAGCGAACAGACGAGGAGCUUGCUCCUCUGACGUUAGCGGCGGACGGGUGAGUAACACGUGGAUAACCUACCUAUAAGACUGGGAUAACUUCGGGAAACCGGAGCUAAUACCGGAUAAUAUAUUGAACCGCAUGGUUCAAUAGUGAAAGACGGUUUUGCUGUCACUUAUAGAUGGAUCCGCGCCGCAUUAGCUAGUUGGUAAGGUAACGGCUUACCAAGGCAACGAUGCGUAGCCGACCUGAGAGGGUGAUAGGCCACACUGGAACGGAGACACGGUCCAGACUCCUACGGGAGGCAGCAGUAGGGAAUCUUACGCAAUGGGCGAAAGCAUGACGGAGCAACGCCGCGUGAGUGAUGAAGGUCUUCGGAUCGUAAAACUCUGUUAUUAGGGAAGAACAAAUGUGUAAGUAACUAUGCACGUCUUGACGGUACCGAAUCAGAAAGCCACGGCUAACUACGUG
rnacentral:rRNA from 1 species